rnacentral:hammerhead_ribozyme from 1 species
AUCCAGAUGACUAGUCCCAAAUAGGACGAAAUGUACGUCCUGAAU